rnacentral:rRNA from 1 species
GAUGAACGCUGGCGGCGUGCCUAAUACAUGCAAGUCGAGCGAAUGGAUUAAGAGCUUGCUCUUAUGAAGUUAGCGGCGGACGGGUGAGUAACACGUGGGUAACCUGCCCAUAAGACUGGGAUAACUCCGGGAAACCGGGGCUAAUACCGGAUAACAUUUUGAACCGCAUGGUUCGAAAUUGAAAGGCGGCUUCGGAUGUCACUUAUGGAUGGACCCGCGUCACAUUAGCUAGUUGGUGAGGUAACGGCUCACCAAGGCAACGAUGCGUAGCCGACCUGAGAGGGUGAUCGGCCACACUGGGACUGAGACACGGCCCAGACUCCUACGGGAGGCAGCAGUAGGGAAUCUUUCGCAAUGGACGAAAGUCUGACGGAGCAACGCCGCGUGAGUGAUGAAGGCUUUCGGGUCGUAAAACUCUGUUGUUAGGGAAGAACAAGUGCUAGUUGAAUAAGCUGGCACCUUGACGGUACCUAACCAGAAAGCCACGGCUAACUACGUGCCAGCCGCCGCUGUAA